rnacentral:pre_miRNA from 1 species
AGGGUCUGAUUUCCUCGGCAGUUAACUACAGCCGGUUUUUUAAAAUUUCGGCAGUUAACUGCCGAGGAGCAU